rnacentral:lncRNA from 1 species
GUGAGGAAAUGAAGCAAAGGAAAAAUACCUCUCCCCUCCCACCUUGAGCAUAGCUCCCUGUCAGCACCGCAGCCUGGGAACCAAGGUGGAGAGAAGAUGUGAUCACACUGCUCUUGGCUAUUGGGACUGUCACCAGACAGGGUCUGAAGGGGUCUCUGAAGUGGAGCUGGGGAACCUCAUCUUACUCCACCCACAGGCAGGACAUAACAAACAGGUGAAAAAAGCCAGCCCCCACGGACCAGCCUCCU